rnacentral:rRNA from 2 species
GGGUUGUGAGGUUAAGCGACUAAGCGUACACGGUGGAUGCCCUGGCAGUCAGAGGCGAUGAAGGACGUGCUAAUCUGCGAUAAGCGUCGGUGAGGUGAUAUGAACCGUUAUAACCGGCGAUUUCCGAAUGGGGAAACCCAGUGUGUUUCGACACACUAUCAUUAACUGAAUCCAUAGGUUAAUGAGGCGAACCGGGGGAACUGAAACAUCUAAGUACCCCGAGGAAAAGAAAUCAACCGAGAUUCCCCCAGUAGCGGCGAGCGAACGGGGAGGAGCCCAGAGCCUGAAUCAGUGUGUGUGUUAGUGGAAGCGUCUGGAAAGGCGCGCGAUACAGGGUGACAGCCCCGUACACAAAAAUGCACAUAUUGUGAGCUCGAUGAGUAGGGCGGGACACGUGGUAUCCUGUCUGAAUAUGGGGGGACCAUCCUCCAAGGCUAAAUACUCCUGACUGACCGAUAGUGAACCAGUACCGUGAGGGAAAGGCGAAAAGAACCCCGGCGAGGGGAGUGAAAAAGAACCUGAAACCGUGUACGUACAAGCAGUGGGAGCCUCUUAAUGGGGUGACUGCGUACCUUUUGUAUAAUGGGUCAGCGACUUAUAUUCUGUAGCAAGGUUAACCGAAUAGGGGAGCCGAAGGGAAACCGAGUCUUAACUGGGCGUUAAGUUGCAGGGUAUAGACCCGAAACCCGGUGAUCUAGCCAUGGGCAGGUUGAAGGUUGGGUAACACUAACUGGAGGACCGAACCGACUAAUGUUGAAAAAUUAGCGGAUGACUUGUGGCUGGGGGUGAAAGGCCAAUCAAACCGGGAGAUAGCUGGUUCUCCCCGAAAGCUAUUUAGGUAGCGCCUCGUGAAUUCAUCUCCGGGGGUAGAGCACUGUUUCGGCAAGGGGGUCAUCCCGACUUACCAACCCGAUGCAAACUGCGAAUACCGGAGAAUGUUAUCACGGGAGACACACGGCGGGUGCUAACGUCCGUCGUGAAGAGGGAAACAACCCAGACCGCCAGCUAAGGUCCCAAAGUCAUGGUUAAGUGGGAAACGAUGUGGGAAGGCCCAGACAGCCAGGAUGUUGGCUUAGAAGCAGCCAUCAUUUAAAGAAAGCGUAAUAGCUCACUGGUCGAGUCGGCCUGCGCGGAAGAUGUAACGGGGCUAAACCAUGCACCGAAGCUGCGGCAGCGACACUAUGUGUUGUUGGGUAGGGGAGCGUUCUGUAAGCCUGUGAAGGUGUACUGUGAGGUAUGCUGGAGGUAUCAGAAGUGCGAAUGCUGACAUAAGUAACGAUAAAGCGGGUGAAAAGCCCGCUCGCCGGAAGACCAAGGGUUCCUGUCCAACGUUAAUCGGGGCAGGGUGAGUCGACCCCUAAGGCGAGGCCGAAAGGCGUAGUCGAUGGGAAACAGGUUAAUAUUCCUGUACUUGGUGUUACUGCGAAGGGGGGACGGAGAAGGCUAUGUUGGCCGGGCGACGGUUGUCCCGGUUUAAGCGUGUAGGCUGGUUUUCCAGGCAAAUCCGGAAAAUCAAGGCUGAGGCGUGAUGACGAGGCACUACGGUGCUGAAGCGACAAAUGCCCUGCUUCCAGGAAAAGCCUCUAAGCAUCAGGUAACAUCAAAUCGUACCCCAAACCGACACAGGUGGUCAGGUAGAGAAUACCAAGGCGCUUGAGAGAACUCGGGUGAAGGAACUAGGCAAAAUGGUGCCGUAACUUCGGGAGAAGGCACGCUGAUAUGUAGGUGAAGCGACUUGCUCGUGGAGCUGAAAUCAGUCGAAGAUACCAGCUGGCUGCAACUGUUUAUUAAAAACACAGCACUGUGCAAACACGAAAGUGGACGUAUACGGUGUGACGCCUGCCCGGUGCCGGAAGGUUAAUUGAUGGGGUUAGCGGUAACGCGAAGCUCUUGAUCGAAGCCCCGGUAAACGGCGGCCGUAACUAUAACGGUCCUAAGGUAGCGAAAUUCCUUGUCGGGUAAGUUCCGACCUGCACGAAUGGCGUAAUGAUGGCCAGGCUGUCUCCACCCGAGACUCAGUGAAAUUGAACUCGCUGUGAAGAUGCAGUGUACCCGCGGCAAGACGGAAAGACCCCGUGAACCUUUACUAUAGCUUGACACUGAACAUUAAGCCUUGAUGUGUAGGAUAGGUGGGAGGCUUUGAAGUGUGGACGCCAGUCUGCAUGGAGCCGACCUUGAAAUACCACCCUUUAAUGUUUGAUGUUCUAACGUGGGCCCCUUACCGGGGUUGCGGACAGUGUCUGGUGGGUAGUUUGACUGGGGCGGUCUCCUCCUAAAGAGUAACGGAGGAGCACGAAGGUUGGCUAAUCCUGGUCGGACAUCAGGAGGUUAGUGCAAUGGCAUAAGCCAGCUUGACUGCGAGCGUGACGGCGCGAGCAGGUGCGAAAGCAGGUCAUAGUGAUCCGGUGGUUCUGAAUGGAAGGGCCAUCGCUCAACGGAUAAAAGGUACUCCGGGGAUAACAGGCUGAUACCGCCCAAGAGUUCAUAUCGACGGCGGUGUUUGGCACCUCGAUGUCGGCUCAUCACAUCCUGGGGCUGAAGUAGGUCCCAAGGGUAUGGCUGUUCGCCAUUUAAAGUGGUACGCGAGCUGGGUUUAGAACGUCGUGAGACAGUUCGGUCCCUAUCUGCCGUGGGCGCUGGAGAACUGAGGGGGGCUGCUCCUAGUACGAGAGGACCGGAGUGGACGCAUCACUGGUGUUCGGGUUGUCAUGCCAAUGGCACUGCCCGGUAGCUAAAUGCGGAAGAGAUAAGUGCUGAAAGCAUCUAAGCACGAAACUUGCCCCGAGAUGAGUUCUCCCUGACUCCUUGAGAGUCCUGAAGGAACGUUGAAGACGACGACGUUGAUAGGCCGGGUGUGUAAGCGCAGCGAUGCGUUGAGCUAACCGGUACUAAUGAACCGUGAGGCUUAACCUUACAACGCCGAAG